rnacentral:rRNA from 1 species
CCUACGGGAGGCAGCAGUGAGGAAUAUUGGUCAAUGGACGAGAGUCUGAACCAGCCAAGUAGCGUGAAGGAUGACUGCCCGAUGGGGUGUAAACUUCUGUUAUAGGGGAAUAAAAUGUUCCACGUGUGGGAUUUUGUAUGUACCAUAUGAAUAAGGAUCGGCUAACUCCGUGCCAGCAGCCGCGGUAAUACGGAGGAUCCGAGCGUUAUCCGGAUUUAUUGGGUUGAAAGGGCGCGUAGGUGGUUUGUUAAGUCAGUUGUGAAAGUUUGCGGCUCAACCGUAAAUUUGCAGUUGAAACUGGCAGUCUUGAGUACAGUAGAGGUGGGCGGAAUUCGUGGUGUAGCGGUGACAUGCUUAGAUAUCACGCAGAACUCCGAUUGCGAAGGCAGUUCACUGGACUGCAACUGACACUGAGGCUCGAAAGUGUGGGUAUCAAACAGGAUUAGCUACCCUUGUAGUC